rnacentral:rRNA from 1 species
CAGGGAUUGCCUCAGUAACGGCGAGUGAAGCGGCAACAGCUCAAAUUUGAAAUCUGGCCCCUUGGGGGUCCGAGUUGUAAUUUGUAGAGGGUGUUUCGGGCGCGAUGCCGGUNUAAGUUCCUUGGAACAGGACGUCGUAGAGGGUGAGAAUCCCGUAUGCGACCGGCGAUCAAGCCUGUGUGAAGCCCCUUCGACGAGUCGAGUUGUUUGGGAAUGCAGCUCAAAAUGGGUGGUAAAUUUCAUCUAAAGCUAAAUAUUGGCCAGAGACCGAUAGCGGACAAGUAGAGUGAUCGAAAGAUGAAAAGCACUUUGGAAAGAGAGUCAAACAGUACGUGAAAUUGUUGAAAGGGAAGCGCUUGCAAUCAGACCGGUCCGGAGGCGAUCAGCCGCUGCUCGUCAGCGGUGCACUCGCCUGCGAUCCGGCCAGCAUCGGUUCGGGCGGCGGGAUAAAAGUCCCGGGAAUGUAGCUUCUUUCGGGGAGUCUUAUAGCCCGGGUCGCAAUGCCGCCCGCCCGGACCGAGGACCGCGCUUCGGCUAGGAUGCUGGCGUAAUGGUUGCAAGCGACCCGUCUUGAAACACGGACCAAGGAGUCUAACAUCUAUGCGAGUGUUUGGGUGUCAAACCCAGGCGCGGAAUGAAAAUGAACGGAGGUGGGAACCCGUNAGACGGCGCACCAUCGACCGAUCCAGAUGUCUUCGGAUGGAUUUGAGUAUGAGCAUAGCUGUUGGGACCCGAAAGAUGGUGAACUAUGCCCGGAUAGGGUGAAGCCAGAGGAAACUCUGGUGGAGGCUCGCAGCGGUUCUGACGUGCAAAUCGAUCGUCAAAUCUAGGCAUAGGGGCGAAAGACCAAUCGAACCAUCUAG